rnacentral:rRNA from 1 species
UACGUAGGGUGCGAGCGUUGUCCGGAAUUACUGGGCGUAAAGAGCUCGUAGGUGGUUUGUCGCGUUGUUCGUGAAAACCGGGGGCUUAACCCUCGGCGUGCGGGCGAUACGGGCAGACUUGAGUACUGCAGGGGAGACUGGAAUUCCUGGUGUAGCGGUGGAAUGCGCAGAUAUCAGGAGGAACACCGGUGGCGAAGGCGGCACUCCGGGCCGGAACUGACGCUGAGGAGCGAAAGCGUGGGGAGCGAACAGG